UAAGUUUAUCUCUAUUUUCAUGAUUAUGGCACCCUAAACGGAGUUUGGGUGACAUAUUGUUAUUCUACGUUUCUUUUUGUUUUUAUUUUUAUUAUUUUAUGGCACCCUAAACGGAGUUUGGGUGACAUAUUGUUAUUCUACGUUUCUUUUUGUUUUUAUUUUUAUUAUUAUUUUUCUUCCACACAUUUUUGUCCAGUCUGGAACUCUAAUGUGAAUGGACCCAAGAAGAUGGAACUAUACCAUAAUGUUAACCACCAGAUGAAGAUUUGCUUUUUGGGGGUGGCACUUUCAAGAUGGCUGCCGUUACCAUGGAAACGGAACAAAUGUGAAAAAAUCCCGUUUUUUGUUUUGGGGAACUAUUU
rnacentral:lncRNA from 1 species